GAUGAACGCUGACAGAAUGCUUAACACAUGCAAGUCUUUGGCGAAGCUGUGCUCGCACAGCCUAGCCAAGGCGGACGGGUGAGUAACGCGUAAGGAACUUGCCCUGCAGUCAGGGAUAACAGACGGAAACGACUGAUAAGACCUGGUAAAGUCAGGCGGACUCAUGUCCAGCCUGAUGAAAAGAGAUGCUGCAGGAGAGCCUUGCGUCCUAUUAGCUUGUUGGUGGGGUAACGGCCCACCAAGGCGAUGAUAGGUAGCCGGCCUGAGAGGGUGGACGGCCACAAGGGGACUGAGAUACGGCCCUUACUCCUACGGGAGGCAGCAGUGGGGAAUAGUGGACAAUGGGGGCAACCCUGAUCCAGCAAUUCUGUGUGCACGAUGAAGGUUUUCGGAUUGUGAAGUGCUUUCAGCAGGGAAGAAAAAAAUGACGGUACCUGCAGAAGAAGCGACGGCUAAAUACGUG
rnacentral:rRNA from 1 species